GAUGAAGAACGCAGCGAAAUGCGAUAAGUAAUGUGAAUUGCAGAAUUCAGUGAAUCAUCGAAUCUUUGAACGCACAUUGCGCCCGCCAGUAUUCUGGCGGGCAUGCCUGUUCGAGCGUCAUUUCAACCCUCAAGCUCUGCUUGGUGUUGGGGACCGGCCGCAGCCUCAGUGCUCUGCCGCCCCCUAAAUACAGUGGCGGUCCCGCCGCAGCUUCCAUUGCGUAGUAGCUAACACCUCGCAACUGGAGAGCGGCGCGGCCACGCCGUAAAACACCCAACUUCUGAAUGUUGACCUCGAAUCAGGUAGGAAUACCCGCUGAACUUAAGCAUAUCAAUAAGCGGAGGA
rnacentral:misc_RNA from 1 species